rnacentral:rRNA from 1 species
GUGGGGAAUAUUGGACAAUGGGGGGAACCCUGAUCCAGCCAUGCCGCGUGUGUGAAGAAGGCCUUUUGGUUGUAAAGCACUUUAAGCGAGGAGGAGGCUACCGAGAUUAAUACUCUUGGAUAGUGGACGUUACUCGCAGAAUAAGCACCGGCUAACUCUGUGCCAGCAGCCGCGGUAAUACAGAGGGUGCAAGCGUUAAUCGGAUUUACUGGGUGUAAAGCGCGCGUAGGUGGACAAUUAAGUCAAAUGUGAAAACCCCGAGAUUAACUUGGGAAUUGCAUUCGAUACUGGUUGGCUAGAGUAUGGGAGAGGAUGGUAGAAUUCCAGGUGUAGCGGUGAAAUGCGUAGAGAUCUGGAGGAAUACCGAUGGCGAAGGCAGCCAUCUGGCCUAAUACUGACACUGAGGUGCGAAAGCAUGGGGAGCAAACAGGAUUAGAAACCCGUGUAGUCC